UCAAGUCGUCGACCGAAAUGAAAGUUCAAAUGAGGCUAUUCAACCAGGCUGAAGCCCUUCUAGUCUCUGCCCAUCUUCAAACGUAAACGCAUUUUAAACGAUGGCAGGAAGAAUUUUUCAAAAGCUUAAUUACCAGCCAUCCUUUGCAAAAUUCCCAAGUCCACAUACUGCAGCUAACAAUGGGAAUAAUAAAAAAAACAAUUGGUGAAUAUAGGCUUCGUAGCCGGAGCCGGGAGAGAAAGAAAAAAACAAACGCAAGAUCUGAUUUGCUCUUUUUAUCUCUGUUUCUCUGACUCAGACGUACGUUUACAGACGAAACCUAACUACCAACAUCUCUCUUUUGUCUGUUUGUGACAGUCUACGUUUGCAAUCGACCACAAAGCGGUUAUGUCUCCGACCCGCCCCCGGUAGGAAGGUUAACAUCGGGCCCACGUCAUCGACUGUUCCAAAUUAAUAUUUUCGUAUGUUUCUUGCCCCAAAUUCAAGGGAAUACGUGUUCGUUGAUUUUGCCGUUGAUGGUGGUUAAUGCCGUUUAACAUUCCCCAUCCGAUGGACCGAGUAAACCCUGAGGAUCCUUCCGUUUCCGUUUAAAAACUACAGCACGUAAUAUUUGGCGGGGAUUUGGGCUCUGUAAUUUUCAAAUCGUUUAUUAAUAAAUAAGAUUGAUGAGAUUGUAUGAUUGCGAUUUAAUGCUUUUUUUUUUUUACACCGAAAUUGUAAGAUUGACAUCUCAAUGAAAUAUAUAUGCAAAACAAUUUUAUAUUUGAUGUUCUGUUAAUUUAAUAUUUAUAUAUUAUUAGGUAAUAACGGAAUAUCAACUCAUAAAUAUGUACAAAUAAAAG
rnacentral:lncRNA from 1 species